CGGAACCCGAUCUGGAAAAUGCUGAGCGGCACGACAUCAUGCUCGGCGGAGGGAUGAUGGGCGGCAUGAUUUCAGCGAUAAUGGACGGUCAGCGCACCAACAUGCGAACGCUCAUGCACAACGGUCUCUUAUGGUCGAUCAAUGGCGUUGCCGCCAAAGGGCACAUCCUUGAUCCAUUCCUCACACUGAAGCGAAACCAAUCCUGUCGACUGACCCUCAUCAACGAUACGGCCUGGCACCAUCCGAUGCAUUUGCAUGGCCACGUUUUUCGGGUGAUCGCGCGCAACGGUCAGCCGACACGCCGCAGCGAAUGGCAGGACACGGUGAUGAUGGACCCGCGCGANNNNNNNNNNNUCGCGUUCGUUGCAGACAAUCCAGGCGACUGGAUGUUCCAUUGCCAUAUCCUGGAGCAUCAGG
rnacentral:misc_RNA from 1 species